rnacentral:rRNA from 1 species
UACAGAGGUCUCAAGCGUUGUUCGGAUUCAUUGGGCGUAAAGGGUGCGUAGGUGGCGAGGCAAGUCAGAUGUGAAAUCCCGGGGCUCAACCCCGGAACUGCAUUUGAAACUGCCUUGCUCGAGUACUGGAGAGGAGACUGGAAUUUACGGUGUAGCAGUGAAAUGCGUAGAUAUCGUAAGGAAGACCAGUGGCGAAGGCGAGUCUCUGGACAGUUCCUGACGCUGAGGCACGAAGGUCAGGGGAGCAAACGGG